UACCAUGAUGAGGGCAUUUCCAUAAUAAUUCCUUAAAUCGUUCCUAUGCCUCAUACAAGGAAUCAUCACCAAGUUGCUGAAACAGAACCUAGCGGUAAGGAA
rnacentral:snoRNA from 1 species